CCUACGGGUGGCAGCAGUGGGGAAUAUUGCACAAUGGGGGAAACCCUGAUGCAGCGACGCCGCGUGAGUGAAGAAGUAUUUCGGUAUGUAAAGCUCUAUCAGCAGGGAAGAAAAUGACGGUACCUGUUUAAGAAGCCCCGGCUAAAUACGUGCCAGCAGCAGAGGUAAUACGUAGGGGGCAAGCGUUAUCCCGAUUUACUGGGUGUAAAGGGAGCGUAGACGGCAGCACAAGUCUGGAGUGAAAUGCCGGGGCUUAACCCCGGCACUGCUUUGGAAACUGUGCAGCUAGAGUGCAGGAGAGGUAAGUGGAAUUCCUGGUGGAGCGGUGAAAUGCGUAGAUAUUAGGAGGAACACCAGUGGCGAAGGCGGCUUACUGGACUGUAACUGACGUUGAGGCUCGAAAGCGUGGGGAGCGAACAGGAUUAGAUACCCCAGUAGUC
rnacentral:rRNA from 1 species